UAGGGAAUCUUCGGCAAUGGGGGGAACCCUGACCGAGCAACGCCGCGUGAGUGAAGAAGGUUUUCGGAUCGUAAAGCUCUGUUGUUAAGGAAGAACGAGUGUGAGAAUGGAAAGUUCAUACUGUGACGGUACUUAACCAGAAAGGGACGGCUAACUACGUGCCAGCAGCCGCGGUAAUACGUAGGUCCCGAGCGUUGUCCGGAUUUAUUGGGCGUAAAGCGAGCGCAGGCGGUUAGAUAAGUCUGAAGUUAAAGGCAGUGGCUCAACCAUUGUAGGCUUUGGAAACUGUUUAACUUGAGGGCAGAAGGGGAGAGUGGAAUUCCAUGUGUAGCGGUGAAAUGCGUGGAUAUAUGGAGGAACACCGGUGGCGAAAGCGGCUCUCUGGUCUGUAACUGACGCUGAGGCUCGAAAGCGUGGGGAGCGAACAGG
rnacentral:rRNA from 1 species